rnacentral:sRNA from 1 species
UCAUUCGCUGAAUGCUUCGUUAAAUACGAAGGAGCGGGGGAACCAACCGAAGCCGGUCUUGUCGGCUUCAUGGGGUGAAUCGCCGGUAAAUCCGGUGUAGGGCGACUCUUACGCCCGAAUCCGACAGCUAACCUCGUAAGCGUCGAAGAGAGG